GCCAGCAGCCAUAUCACCCUGCAACUCACACUAGUAGUCAACUGAAGCUAAGCAAGUGUGAGCUUAGUCAGUACCUGAAUGGGAGACCUCUUGGGGAAAAACAAAGGUUACUGCUGCAA
rnacentral:rRNA from 1 species